GACGUAGGGCGCGAGCGUUGUCCGGAAUCAUUGGGCGUAAAGCGCGUGUAGGCGGCCCGAUAAGUCCGCUGUGAAAGUCCAGGGCUCAACCCUGGGAUGCCGGUGGAUACUGUCGGGCUCGAGUCCGGAAGAGGAGUGUGGAAUUCCUGGUGUAGCGGUGAAAUGCGCAGAUAUCAGGAGGAACACCAAUGGCGAAGGCAGCACUCUGGGACGUGACUGACGCUGAGACGCGAAAGCGUGGGGAGCAAACAGG
rnacentral:rRNA from 1 species